UACUAAAGAAUAUGAAAAUGUUGACUGAAUUAUUUAUGCCAGUACAAUCAUAUUAAGCAUAUUUAUGGUUACAUUUAGUUAGCAAAUUGUACCUCACAAAGGCACAGUCCUGUCAGGUAUGUAGUGAAAUGACUCUUAUGGCACAGCCAAUGCCUUAAAGGUGAUGACUUUCUUUUUCCUUUUCAAUAUCAUUCAGAAAUCAACCAGUCUAGAAUGGAGUGAUUGUUUGCUUCAGGCAGUAGAGACAAAAAGCGAGAGAAAUCAAUUGAGCUAAGCAUUCCUAUGACAUGCUGUGGUCAUAUUGGUGUGUUCAUUUCAUAAGCCAAUUUGAUUGUUCUUUGAGUAAAAGUGGAGUUAAUAUAUUGAUAUUCCUAAUAAAGUACUUGGCAGUAUUUUUUUUUUUUCUUUUUCAUAAAAAAAGUCUUCAUUGAUCCAAAACAUCCUAACUGCUUGUGACUGGCUGGAUGCCAACAAAGACCAACUUGUUGGGACAGUCCUCCGGCCAAGAAUUCUGGAAAUGGACGAGGAUGAAGUUACAUACACAAUUGAAAAAUAAGAACAAAGGGGAGACGAUGAAGAGACUGAAGAAGUCAUGUCCACCUUCUUAUUUACUUUUGAAUGCCUGAAGGACAUGAACUUUUUUCUUGAUGAGAUACGGGUUAAAAAAAAUAUUCCCAUCAGUUGCUGCUGUUCGACAAAUUAGAUUUUUGUGUUUUAUUUUUUUUCAUGUGGAAAAAACCUACCGUGAUGUCAUUUUGUUCAGUGGACUUGAUCAGUGAUUCACUGUAAAGAAAAGUGGGGAUGGACUGGCUUUCUGACCUGCUUCAAUAGUUCAUUGUCUACUGAAAUGACCAAUGUAAUGGAUGGAGGACACAGAUGGAUGUCCCAACUGGGAUUGUGUGCUUUAUUUCUUUAAAAUAAAUUCAUAUUUGAACCUGGA